GAGUUUGAUCCUGGCUCAGGAUGAACGCUAGCGACAGGCUUAACACAUGCAAGUCGAGGGGCAGCGGGGGUGAUGGCUUGCCAUCACCUGCCGGCGACCGGCGCACGGGUGAGUAACACGUAUGCAACCUGCCCGCCACAGGGGGAUAAGCGGAAGAAAUUCCGUCUAAUACCGCGUGACGCGGCACCGGGGCAUCCCGGUGCCGCCAAAGGGAUUACCGGUGGCGGAUGGGCAUGCGGCGCAUUAGCUAGUCGGCGGGGUAACGGCCCACCGAGGCGACGAUGCGUAGGGGUUCUGAGAGGAAGGUCCCCCACACUGGUACUGAGACACGGACCAGACUCCUACGGGAGGCAGCAGUGAGGAAUAUUGGUCAAUGGGCGCGAGCCUGAACCAGCCAAGUCGCGUGAGGGAUGACGGUCCUACGGAUUGUAAACCUCUUUUGCCGGGGAGCAAGCGUGCGUUCGUGAACGCGCGUCGAGAGUACCCGGAGAAAAAGCAUCGGCUAACUCCGUGCCAGCAGCCGCGGUAAUACGGAGGAUGCGAGCGUUAUCCGGAUUUAUUGGGUUUAAAGGGUGCGUAGGCGGGAUGCCAAGUCAGCGGUAAAAAUGCGGUGCUCAACGCCGUCGAGCCGUUGAAACUGGCGUUCUUGAGUGGGCGAGAAGUAUGCGGAAUGCGUGGUGUAGCGGUGAAAUGCAUAGAUAUCACGCAGAACUCCGAUUGCGAAGGCAGCAUACCGGCGCCCUACUGACGCUGAGGCACGAAAGCGUGGGUAUCGAACAGGAUUAGAUACCCUGGUAGUCCACGCAGUAAACGAUGAAUGCUAACUGUCCGGCUCGAAUGAGCGCUGGGCGGUACAGCGAAAGCGUUAAGCAUUCCACCUGGGGAGUACGCCGGCAACGGUGAAACUCAAAGGAAUUGACGG
rnacentral:rRNA from 1 species